rnacentral:rRNA from 1 species
CAGCAGCCGCGGUAAAACAGAGGGUGCGAGCGUUAAUCGGAUUUACUGGGCGUAAAGCGUGCGUAGGCGGCUUCUUAAGUCGGAUGUGAAAUCCCUGAGCUUAACUUAGGAAUUGCAUUCGAUACUGGGAAGCUAGAGUAUGGGAGAGGAUGGUAGAAUUCCAGGUGUAGCGGUGAAAUGCGUAGAGAUCUGGAGGAAUACCGAUGGCGAAGGCAGCCAUCUGGCCUAAUACUGACGCUGAGGUACGAAAGCAUGGGGAGCAAACAGGAUUAGAUACCCCGUAGUCCCUGUCUCUUAUACA